UAUCAGGGGGCACUUUGGCGACAGAGGCUAUCACUGAAGAUACUACUCUGCUUUUGGAAACUCCUGUUUCUCAAUCACGCUUUCCUCCUUUCUAACUUCUCUGAGUAACUCCGUAAAAGAUGGAGUGCACAUCCUGCAGAUCAUUCAGACCCAUAGAGCAAUCACAGCGUGUGGCAGUGUCCUUCACAACAUUCUCCAUCCUCAAGCAAUUUCUCUCAAGACAGUUGAAUGCCCCUUUUGUGGUACAAACAAUGCAGCAGUUUCUCCAACAUAAAAAUGUAGGCGGACAGCAUUUGUUCUUCCUGGAACGUAAGCCCAAACUUCAUCAUCGGAUUGGCUGCACUUUCAGCAGUGCCAAAAGCAUCUUCCAGAGCUUGCAGGUAAGUAGCUGAUGUGGGGAAUGGGUUUUCUGUCUUUAGCAGCCUCACUAUAUCAGCCGCUGGACCCUUUAAGCUCUCGACCAGUGUCUUUUUUUUCCAAAUCAUCUGAGCACUGCCAUUCAUUCAGUAACUGAGAUGUCUGCUCAGCCCCAGCCUCAUAUUUUUCUACCCCAUUGGUUGUGGGCUUGACUCCAGAGAACACUUCCAGCCUACAAUAACUGGCUCUUUGCAGAUACAUUUCUGCAUUUGAUAACCAGCUGGAAUAUCCAAAACCAACUCGGAAAUCAACCUCUGAAGGACCCAUUAGAGCUUUCACAUCAGACAACUCCUUUCCCUCACUUCGCAGAAAUGAGAACAACUUGUUUUUAAAGUUUUCACCCUCGGCUACAUACCCCUGUUCUCGAAAACUAUUGACUGCCCAUGGCUCCACCUCUUUAGGAUCUCCCAACCUAUCAGGCAGCAGGACUUCAGUCACAUCACAGCUGGUCUGGACUAACAUGACAUCCUUCCCUGCAAAGUGGCAUUCACUCAGUGUUCCCUAAGCCCUGAAAAAAAACUUAGCACUCUGAACACAGGUUCAUCACAGAUUUGGACAUCCACUCUGCUCAAGCAUCGUUUGUAGAUAAUCUCUGAAUUGGACCAACCCUUUCUCUGCAGCGUCCAAUAAUAACGUACCUUACUCACUUUCCCUGAUGUUAGUUUAAACUAGUGGUUGCUAACCAGUCGAUCUUUGAGACUUUCCCAGUAGAUCCCAAAAAAUAAUGAAAAAUAAAUACAAAUACAUUAUACCUGAUAAACCUUUUGAUGCUAAAGCAAAUUUUACCCCUAGAGCCGUUUUCAACCCACACUUAGUUGCUUCCCCUGGUUAUUGUGUUUUUCUUUUUCCACUGCCCAGCAUCAUGCGUCACGUGUGUGACAUCAUGUGACAAUUGCCACCGUCUGUCAAAUUUCCAUGGAGCGUGGGAGAGCUUAGAUUAUCUCAAACAUAAAUAAACGGGCAAACUGUCCAACGGCGAAAGAAGUCACCACGUGUGGGUAAAGAUGACUCACUUAUGCAAUCAUGACUUAACUAAAAUCUGAUCAACUUUAAUCGGUUUUGAUUCUACUAUGCUGCUACUUAUAUUGCGUCAGUUAUGCAAAAGUUUGAUCAGUUGUACUGCUCUUUCUUUCUUCAAAUUCUUUGAUAGAGUGAAUUCAUGUUUAGCAUUUCAAAUAGUGUGCUAGUAAUUAGCAUGAAUUUUAGUUUUUACUGAAAAGUUAGCGCCCCUCUCUCUCUUUUGAUUUAGCUGUUUUUUCAGCGUAACUUGUGCUGCAUCAAAGUGACCAGUGAGAUUAGAUAAGAGUACAGAUUGUCGCAAGCAUCACUAUAACACACUCGCUGGUGAUAUCCUGCAAGGUGGCUAGCUAGCAUGGCAAAGGCGAAAGUUGAGGAGCUGAAAUCGGGGUUGAAGGCCCAGCAAUCAUUUUUCACAAAACAUACUGCCCAAAUAAGGCUGCUAUUGAAGCAUCAUUUCGUGUAAGUCACCUUUUGGCUAAACACAAGAAUAUUGAUAUUGAUAUUGAAAUGGAAAUAAUUGAUUUGCAAAAUGACAUCAAGCUUAAAGCAAGAUCAAAGGGCAGUGACUUUUGGGGGCUUGUCAGCAGGGAAAAGCUUCCUCAUCUCACUACACGUGUACUAAAAGUCCGUGCCUACUCCAGGUCAACUUACCUGUGUGAAAUUGCAUUUUCACAGAUGAAAAUUAUUAAAUCUAAGUACAGGAGCUGUCUUACUGACAGACACCUCACAGACAGUCCUCAGACUGGCUGUCUGCAGUUAUAGAGCUAAAUUUCAGGGAACUAGCAGAAAGUAUUCAGCCCCAGUCAUCAGACUGAGAGCAACAGUCAAUUUUUAUACAUUUUUUUUGUGUUGAAAUAAAAUUAAAUAAUGAAACUUGGAAUUAAAGGUAUGAAGUAUUGUAAUAUUCUUAAAGAAAGAUGGCUAUGCCCCAUUUAAUAUGCUAAUUAUUGUUUUCUUGGUUGAAUUAAUUUGAAAGUUUGACAAAAGCAUUUUAUGUAAUUCAAAUACAAUUAGCCCAAAUAAAAGGCCUCAAGUUGGAAGUACAAUCUGAGCUGUUUUUUCUCUAAAUGAUUUAGUAGGUCGAUCGUGCCUUUCACUAAGGCCAAGGUAGGGGAUUUUGGGCUUAAAAAGGUUGGUGACCACUAGUUUAAACAUGCUUAAACAUACAAACCGCUUAAUCAUUUCUUAACAGCAGUGAAUCCCAGAUGAACCCCUACUGUAUUUCAUCUACCAUGUCUUUGCCCAUUCUCCUAAACUUUUUAACUUUUACUGUAGCCUCUCUGCUUUAACACUACCUGCCCCACCACCCACCUUUAUAAUGUCCACAAACUUAGCCACAAAGCCAUCAAAUCCAUCUCCCUCUGGUGCUCCCUCUCCCCCUUUCUUUCUCCCUAGGCCUCCUGUCCCAUGAUCCUUUCCCUUCUCCAGCUCUGUAUCACUUUUGCCAAUCACCUUUCCAGCUCUUAGCUUCAUCCCACCCCCUCCGGUCUUCUCCUAUCAUUUCGCAUUUCCCCCUCCCCCCACUACUUUCAAAUCUCUUACUAUCUUUCCUUUCAGUUAGUCCUGACGAAGGGUCUCGGCCGGAAACGUCGACAGUGCUUCUCCCUAUAGAUGCUGCCUGGCCUGCUGCGUUCCACCAGCAUUUUGUGUGUGUUGUUGUUUGAAUUUCCAGCAUUUGCAGAUUUCCUUGUGUUUGCUCUUUAAAUUCCAUCAUCAUUGACAUAAAUUGCAAAAAGAAACAGUCCCAACACAGACCCGUGUAGAACACAACUUGUCACCAGCAGCCAACAAGAGAUGGCUCCCUUUAUUCACACUCCUUUUCUCCUGCCCAUCAGCCAAUGCUCUCUUCAGGCCAACAUCUUUCCUGUAAUACCACAGGCUCUUGUUAAGCAGCUUCAUAUGUGGCAUCUAGUCAAAGGCCAUCUGAAAACCCAAGUACACAACAUCUACCAAUUCUUCUUUGUCUAUACUGCUUGUUAUCUCUUCAAAAAAUUCCAACAGAUUUGUCAGGCAAGAAUUUCCUUUAAAGAAAACCUGCUGACUUUGGUCUUUUUUAUUUUGCGUCUCCAAGUACAGUUGGCCCUCCUUAUCUGCGAGGGAUUGGUUCCGGGACUCCUCGCGGAUACCAAAAUUCGCAGAUGCUCAAGUCCCUAAUUCAGCCUGUAUCAAUACGGCGUAUUUUAGGACCCAGCGGAACCCAAGACCUUAUUUAACCUGUCUCAGUGCGAUGGACAUUAGGAUCCAGCGGCAGAGAUCUGAAUCCGCAGCGUUUCUGUUCACGAAAAUAAUCACGAUAACGAUUGAAAAUAAAGUGUGCUUCCCCUGUCCAUACCUUCCUGGUCCUCACUACAGCUGCUGCAGCCUUCAGUCCCUGCCUAUACUCAGGGAGUAGAAGUACAGCCAAGUGAUCAGAUGUCCCGAAGUGAGGGCGUAGAAUAGCACGACUUGCCUGGUUAAAAUCUAAAACAAUGGUGAAGGCGUUAGGGUGCACUGUUUCGUGAAUGUUGAUCAAUUGCUCAGAUCAUCUAAAGCCUGACCGACAUUGGCCUGAGGUGGAAUGUAUACCACUCCCGAAAUGACCCCGGAGAACUUCCAUAGAAGACUGAGCAGGUGAACGGCUUCUCCCCAGUGUGAACUUGCUGGUGUCUCACUAGAAUCGAUGCCAAAGUGAAUCCCAUCCCACAGUCUGAACAGGUAAAUGGCCGCUCCCCGGUGUGAACUCGCUGGUGAGCCAUUAGGUCACAUGGCCGAGUGAAUCCCUUCCCACAGUCUGAGCAGGUGAAUGGCACCUCCCCAGUGUGAACUAACUGUUGUACCUUCAGUUGAAAUGACUGAGAAUUCCUUCCCACAGCCUGAGCAGGUGAAUGGCUUUUCCCUAGUGUGAAUUUGUUUAUUUGUCAACAGAUCAGAUGACUGAGUGAAUGUCUUCCCACACGCAGAACAGUUGAAAAGUCUCUUUCCCUUGUGAACUCAUUGGUCUGUCUGUGGGUUGGCUGAGUGAGUGAAUCUGCUCUCCGACACAGAGCAGGUGAAUGGCCUCUCACUGGUGUGUAUCAUCACCUUGGAUGACAGAAAGAAUCACUUCCCACAGUCCGAACAGGUGAACCCUCUCCCUGUGGUGUGAACUUGCUGAUGUAUCUUCAGGUUGGACUACUGAGUAGAUCCCGUCCCACACACAGAGCAGGUGACUGGCCUCUCCCCACUGCAAAACUCACUAGUGUGUUAUUGGAUCAUCUCACACACAGAGCAGGUGACUGGCCUCUCCCAACAUGUGAACUCACUGGUGUGUUUGCUGUUCGACUGAGUGAGAGAAUCCCUUGUUGUUGUGUUUGAGAUUCCACUACACACAGUCUUUGCUGUUUCUAACCUGUAAAAAGAUUCACAAAAGGCAUCAAUGGGAGAAGAACAACAUUUCAAAUGAGAAUUUUUGUCCCUAUGCUGAGUUCUGACAUCACACUGUUACAGUGAGGUUCAACACAGGUCGGAGGAACAAUUCCCCAUCUCCUAACUAGACACAGCUCAGACAUCAGUACUGACCAUCAAAUUAUCUGAAUAUUUACUGUCUGCAUCAUAAUGGGCCAUGUCUGUGUCUUCAAACUGUGACUUAGCUCAGUAUUCUCCAAUAGAAUUAUUUUAAUUUUACAUCAUGUCCCACAGAGACUACAAGAUAUUACAUGGCUGCUCCUGGAGACUUUCUGAUUAAUCUGACUGCACCUCUGGUGAUAGACGGAGGUUUAACUAGAAAGGAUUGAAGGUAGUGGAGAAGGAAAGGUCAGUGCCUUUAAGCCGUUCUGUUUCGUGAAUUCUUCGUGGGAAGAUCGACGUCGGGGAUCGAAGCAAGCGACGUGAAAGAGAAUUUAAAUCGUCCUAUAAAGUCUCUCCUUUUAAAUGGACUGUGAGCAUAUCGAACUUUUGGCAAUACCACUUUUAAGAACUGUUUUUGGAAUAUCACUUUAAGAACUGUUUGGGCUGCCGCUCAGCAGCUGUUUCCGGUUACGGUAGUGUUUGGUUACUUUUGGGGGGUUUGCUUUCUGUGUUUAAUAAACGUGUUGUUUGUUAUAAGAAACCCUUGCCGAUCUCAUAUAUUUAUUGUUGCCUGAAUACGUAACAUUAAAUAUGGGGGCUGCGUCUGGAUUGAAUCAUUUGAGUUUAAAUGCUUGCUAACUUUUAAAUCGGUGUUUUGGAAACGGGGAUUACUCGGUUCUUUUG